CACAGAAAAAAUAUCAAUUCUAAUGACAUUAAUUGCCGAGAAGGCUCAUGGUUGUGGUUGCAGUGGGCAAAAUUAAGACCAAUUCAUCUGACUAAUUAACCAAUGAAUAAAUCAAUUUGUCUAUAACAAGAAAAUGAGAUGAAAAUAGCUUAAGAAAACACAAUUAGCAUACAGCUGGGAAGGCUCAAAUUGAAGGUUAAAAGUAUAUGUUUGUGCAUUUACUUAGGUUGUAUUGGACUCAUUUGAGGAUUAUGCUCGUUAGAAAGAUUUAAUUGAUAUAUUUCUCUUCAUCUAUAAUUCAAACCAACUUCUAACUAGUAAUCAAAUACUACAAAUGGUAUUGUGACUUGUGAGAAAGGGAAUCAAAUCAAGAAAGGGGAAAGGAAGCCCGACGGCCGGUGCCUCCACGGCUCCGCUGACCGCUCACAGCGUCGAUCCCGUCGGCCGCUCACCGCCGCGCGCCCGCCAACCUCCCAACGCGCCCGCCAGCCGCCGCCUGCCUUGGCGCACCUGCCAACCUUCCGCUGCUCCCGGGCCGCGCGCCACCACGCGCUUGCCCCGUCGAUCCCACCAACCGCUGCGCAUCAACCCCCGCCCGUCGCUCGGAGGUCGCGCUCGCCGCCGGCUUCUCCCUGCCCCAUGACCACCGCCCGAGAGAGAGAGUUGCUGAGAGGGAGAGAGAGCACUUGGGUGGAGAUCUAGGGUUUUGUUAUUUUGGGCUGCCGAUGGGCU
rnacentral:lncRNA from 1 species